AUUGAACGCUGGCGGCAUGCUUUACGCAUGCAAGUCGAACGGGCUGGGGGCAACUCCAGUCAGUGGCGAACGGGUGAGUAAUGCAUCGGAACGUGUCCCGUAGUGGGGGAUAACCCGGCGAAAGCCGGACUAAUACCGCAUAUGCUCUACGGAGGAAAGUGGGGGACCGCAAGGCCUCACGCUAUGGGAGCGGCCGAUGUCCGAUUAGCUUGUUGGUGGGGUAAUGGCCUACCAAGGCGACGAUCGGUAGCUGGUCUGAGAGGAUGAUCAGCCACACUGGGACUGAGACACGGCCCAGACUCCUACGGGAGGCAGCAGUGGGGAAUUUUGGACAAUGGGGGCAACCCUGAUCCAGCCAUGCCGCGUGCGGGAAGAAGGCCU
rnacentral:rRNA from 1 species